rnacentral:tRNA from 1 species
GUCUUUGUAGUAUAAUUAAUACCUUGGUCUUGUAAACCAAAAAUGGAGAACAACCGCCCUCCCUAAGACU